GACAACAGAAGGGACUUCCUGCCAGGGGAGGAGCUAUGAGCAGAAAGCAGUGGGAGCCCUCUCCUUCCUUGAAGACCAGGAAGAUGUGCAUCCCUCCAACCCUGCUGUGCCUGGGCUCCACCCCAUCUCCCUUUGCUCAAAGUAUUUCCUCUCAGCCAUCUCUUUGCUGACUGCUCUCUAGUCCUGGUUCUUAACCCACAGAUAUUUAAAGUGGAAAUGAGAGAACUGAAGUUCUGGAAAGUUCUCCAACCAGGGAUCAAAACCGUGCCCCCUCCAUUGGGAGCAUGGGGUCUUAACCACCGGACCACCAGGGAAGUCCCACAACUUGCAUUUAACAAGAUUCAGAGGUGAUUCGAAUGUACAUUCAAGACUGAGACGCGCUUAUCACAAGAAAAAAAAAAUUGGAACUACGUGUGGUGAUGGAUUGUGCUGGUCAUUUCACAAUAUAUACAAAUAUAGAAUCAUCAUUAUGUUGUACACCUGAACCUAAUAUAAUGUUAUAUGCCAAUUAUACCUUAAAAAAAGAAAAAGGGAAUAAAAAACAGACAAGAAGCACUGCUGUGACCUACUGUUGGAACCUGUAUGAGAUAUCCACAUGGCUUACCUCUUCACCUCCUUCAAGUCGUUGCCGAGAUGUCUCCUCCUCAAUGAAGCCUUUCAUGAUCACCCUACUGAAAAUCGUAACCCACCCUUUAUUCCUCUCCUUCACCCAUGCUGUCCCUUAUUCUGCUUUUUCUAAAGUGCUUAUUACUUCUUUUUUUUUCUUUAAAUUUCUUUAUUUUUGUCUGCGUUGGGUCUUCAUUGCUGCGUUCAGGCUUUCUCUAGUUGUGUUGAGCAGGGGCUACUUUUAGUUGCAGUGUGUGAGCUUCUCAUUGCGAUGGCUUCUCUUGUUGCGGAGCACGGGCUCUAGGUGUGCAGGGUUCAGUAGUGUGGCACACGGGCUCAGUAGUUGUGGCGCACAGGCUUAGUUCCUCUGUGACAUGUGAGAUCUUCCCAGACCAGGGCUCGAACCUGUGUCCCCUGCAUUGGCAGGCGGAUUCUUAACCGCUGCGCCACCAUGGAAGUUCCUACUUCUUUUUUUUUCAAUUGAAGUAUAGUUGAUUUACAAUAUUGUGUUAGUUUCAGGUGUACAGCAAAG